AUCUUCGGGGCGGGGUGCGAUUCCCCACUGGCGGUAUAGUCCGCGACCUGCUUUUCAAGCAGCUGAACCGGUUCGAUUCCGGUACCAACAGUUACAGUCUGGAUGGAAGAAGAU
rnacentral:ncRNA from 1 species